rnacentral:rRNA from 1 species
UACGAAGGGGGCUAGCGUUGCUCGGAAUCACUGGGCGUAAAGGGUGCGUAGGCGGGUCUGUAAGUUAGAGGUGAAAGCCUGGAGCUCAACUCCAGAAUUGCCUUUGAUACUGCAUGGCUUGAAUCCAGGAGAGGUGAGUGGAAUUCCGAGUGUAGAGGUGAAAUUCGUAGAUAUUCGGAAGAACACCAGUGGCGAAGGCGGCUCACUGGACUGGUAUUGACGCUGAGGUGCGAAAGCGUGGGGAGCAAACAGG